GAUGAACGCUGUCUACAGGCUUAACACAUGCAAGUCGAGGGGAAACGACGGGGAAGCUUGCUUCCCCGGGCGUCGACCGGCGCACGGGUGAGUAACGCGUAUCCAACCUGCCUCUGACUGAGGGAUAACCCGUCGAAAGUCGGCCUAAUACCUCAUGGCAUCGUCUGCGGGCAUCCAACGACGAUUAAAGAUUUCAUCGGUCAGGGAUGGGGAUGCGUCUGAUUAGCUUGUUGGCGGGGUAACGGCCCACCAAGGCUACGAUCAGUAGGGGUUCUGAGAGGAAGGUCCCCCCCAUUGGAACUGAGACACGGUCCAAACUCCUACGGGAGGCAGCAGUGAGGAAUAUUGGUCAAUGGGCGGGAGCCUGAACCAGCCAAGUAGCGUGCAGGAUGACGGCCCUAUGGGUUGUAAACUGCUUUUAUGCGGGGAUAAAGUGAGGGACGUGUCCUUCAUUGCAGGUACCGCAUGAAUAAGGACCGGCUAAUUCCGU
rnacentral:rRNA from 1 species